GGAUGUGAGGGCGAUCUGGCUGUGACAUCUGUCACCCCAUUGAUCGCCAGGGUUGAUUCGGCUGAUCUGGCUGGCUAGGCGGGUGUCCCCUUCCUCCCUCACCACUCCAUGUGCGUCCCUCCCGAAGCUGCGCGCUCGGUCGAAGAGGACGACCUUCCCCGAACAGAGGAGGACCGGUCUUCGGUCAAGGGUAUAUGAGUAGCUGCGCUCCCCUUCUAGAACCUCCAAACAAGCUCUCAAGGUCCAUUAAUAAGAUAUUGCUGCUUUAUUUAUAGUUUGUCCCAUGUGUUAUAUAAUAUUACCAUUAUG
rfam:Mesocricetus auratus contig008958, whole genome shotgun sequence.